rnacentral:snRNA from 14 species
UUACUUCCUGGCAGGGGAGAUACUAUGCUCAUGAAGGUUUUUCCCAGUGUGAGGCUGAUCCAUUGCACUCUGUAUAUACUUACUGGCACCAAAAUGUGAUUGCAAGAUACAGCAAGGUGUUUCUGCAAUCCCCAGUGACUGGCAUGCAGC